rnacentral:rRNA from 1 species
UUCUAAGGGCGGUGAAGUCAGACCGGAAGGACUGGUGGAGCGCUUAGAAGUGAGAAUGCCGGUAUGAGUAGCGAAAGAAGGGUGAGAAUCCCUUCCACCGAAUAUCUAAGGUUUCCUGAGGAAGGCUCGUCCGCUCAGGGUUAGUCGGGACCUAAGCCGAGGCCGAUAGGCGUAGGCGAUGGACAACAGGUAGAGAUUCCUGUACCAGUGCUAAUUGUUUAACCGAUGGGGUGACACAGAAGGAUAGGGAAUCGCACGAAUGGAAAUGUGCGUCCAAGCAGUGAGUGUGAGAAGUAGGCAAAUCCGCUUCUCGCGAAGCAUGAGCUGUGAUGGGGAAGGAAAUUAAGUACGGAAGUUCCUGAUUUCACGCUGUCAAGAAAAGCCUCUAGGAAGAGUAGUACUGCCCGUACCGCAAACCGACACAGGUAGAUGAGGAGAGAAUCCUAAGGUGAGCGAGAGAACUCUCGUUAAGGAACUCGGCAAAAUGACCCCGUAACUUCGGGAGAAGGGGUGCUCUAUUAGGGUGCAAGCCCGAGAGAGCCGCAGUGAAUAGGCCCAGGCGACUGUUUAGCAAAAACACAGGUCUCUGCAAAACCGUAAGGUGACGUAUAGGGGCUGACGCCUGCCCGGUGCUGGAAGGUUAAGAGGAGUGCUUAGCUUCGGCGAAGGUACGAAUUGAAGCCCCAGUAAACGGCGGCCGUAACUAUAACGGUCCUAAGGUAGCGAAAUUCCUUGUCGGGUAAGUUCCGACCCGCACGAAAGGCGCAACGAUCUGGGCACUGUCUCAACGAGAGACUCGGUGAAAUUAUAGUACCUGUGAAGAUGCAGGUUACCCGCGACAGGACGGAAAGACCCCGUGGAGCUUUACUGCAACCUGAUAUGGAAUGUUUGUACCGCUUGUACAGGAUAGGUAGGAGCCGAAGAGACGUGUGCGCUAGCAUACGAGGAGGCAAUGGUGGGAUACUACCCUGGCUGUAUGACCAUUCUAACCCGCCACGCUUAGCGCGUGGGGAGACAGUGUCAGGUGG